UAUCGCGUGUAUUUGACGCAAAUCAAUUAUCAUUCUGAUAGAAACUUUUCCACGCUCUGUAUAUACUGUGACAAAUAGGAUUUUCCUACCGUGACUUAAUGCUUACUCAGUACAGGUAUUCAAUUUCUCUCGUGCACAAUGACUUUUACCUUACGCCCACUAGACCGCAAUGAUUUCAAUACGGCAAUACAACAACGUAACCUAAACAGCGCUGGCUUUCUUGCCAUUGGGAAGCUCGUUGAGGCCGACGAUCGUAUUCGAUGACCACGGGAAACAUGCAAGACAUUAGUCGUAUCUGCUUUGGGGGCCGGUCACGUCGGCAACCUGCAUCGAAGGGUUGAAAGAUGCUAUGGACGCAAACAAGCUCAUUCUGUUUGUUUAUGUAUGUGCUAUAUUAAUGUGUUAUAUAGGAAACCGAAACAGGCGCGGGUGCGUGCGUAUUUCCUAGCACUGCCGCCUCUGACGCGCCGCUUGCCUUAGACAUUCGAUUCGUGCGCCACAUUUACAACCAUGUAAACAUGUGGACCAGUUAAUAAAGUGUUUGCGCUUAUGUAGUCGGUGCUAGAGUCGAGGAAAACCCAUCGAGAGAUAUGGGGGAGACUGUCUCUAUACUAUUCCACUGCUUCCUCGGAUCUAGUGUCAAUCCAGUGCAGACCUGUUGCCAACGCGUCUGUGUGACGCACCACAACUCGCAGUGAUAAUUGUUAUGCGAUUGACCUUCUUUUAUCUGCUCAUGCAAGCGGCUUUUCUACACGUUAUAGUAUAUAGGUACGUGUGUGUAUUGCUUCUGUCACUCCAGGGACUCUCAGGAUCGGCUCUUCGCAGAGUGCGCAGGUUUGAAGCCCGGGUACUUGAACCGUCGUGCGGCCUCCACCCGAUACCGUUUACGCUCAACUAUGGUUAACAUAUAUAGGUUGUACUUAAUACAAAUUUCUCUUUUUGAAUCAAUGCGAUGGCCAUCAUCUCCAUGCAUUGUUUUUCUACAACGACGUCAUGGAGGUUAUGUAAUGACCGUGUAGAUGUUGACCACGAGGCUGAUGAUGACGCGAUGCUUGAUCGUGUUGAAGAUAGGUCGAGGCCCCGGGUAACGAAAAGCAGAAUCUACUGGACUCGCGGUUUGGCCGGCACGUCGUUGCCCCUGAUGUUCCUAACCUGUGCGAGACAAUGCAACGGUUGAAAAAUUCAUCAGUGCGGAAAACGUUAAUCUUAACCCGAUUGAUAUACCGAGGACUAUAAUACAAGACUGCGUCGAUUCCUGAUGCCAAUCUUCCUUUAAUCG